GUGAAUCAUCGAAUCUUUGAACGCAAAUUGCGCUUCCUGGCAUCCCGGGGAGUAUGCCUGUUUGAGGGUCAGUAUUAACAAAAACUCGGUGGUGUUGCAAAUUUUUACGUGUCCGGGGUUGGGGCUAUCUGAACUUUUUGGGUUAAGGGGCUUAAAAUGGACCUUUUUGGCGCAUUUUUAGACGUACAUAAAUUUUUUUUGAUUCGUCGC
rnacentral:misc_RNA from 1 species